rnacentral:rRNA from 1 species
GUGAGGAAUUUUGCGCAAUAGGGGAAACCCUGACGCAGCAACGCCGCGUGAGUGAAGAAGGCCCUCGGGUCGUAAAGCUCUGUCAAGUGGGAAAAAAGCUUUCUGGUGAAUAGCCAGGAAGACUGAUGGUACCAUUGAAGGAAGCACCGGCUAACUCCGUGCCAGCAGCCGCGGUAAUACGGAGGGUGCAAGCGUUGUUCGGAAUUACUGGGCGUAAAGGGCGUGUAGGCGGUGUGGUAAGUCAGAUGUGAAAGCCCUGGGCUUAACCCAGGAAGUGCAUUUGAAACUGCCAUGCUUGAGUAUGGGAGAGGAGAGUGGAAUUCCCAGUGUAGAGGUGAAAUUCGUAGAUAUUGGGAGGAACACCCGUGGCGAAGGCGACUCUCUGGACCAAUACUGACGCUGAGGCGCGAAAGCGUGGGGAGCAAACAGGAUUAGAUACCCCGGUAGUCC